UAUGUUAAGUAAAAGAAACCAGUCACAAAAGACAAAUGCUCUUUGAAUCCACUUAUAUGAGGUGCUUAGAAUAGUCAAAAUCAGAAAGACAGAAUGUAGAAUUGUGGUCGCCAG